rnacentral:rRNA from 1 species
GAUGAACGCUAGCGGCAGGCCUAAUACAUGCAAGACGAACGGUAAGUUGAGUAGCAAUACUUAGCCAAGAGUGUCGUACGGGUGCGUAACACGUAUGCAACCUACCCUAUACAGGAGGAUAGCCUAGGGAAACCUGGAUUAACCCUUCAUAGUAUUAUUGGAUGGCAUCAUUUGAUAAUUAAAAACUGAGGUGGUAUAGGAUGGGCAUGCGUCUGAUUAGUUAGUUGGCGGGGUAAUGGCCCACCAAGACGAUGAUCAGUAGGGGUUCUGAGAGGAAGAUCCCCCACACUGGCACUGAGAUACGGGCCAGACUCCUACGGGAGGCAGCAGUAGGGGAAUAUUGGUCAAUGGAUGCAAGUCUGAACCAGCCAUGCCGCGUGCAGGAAGAAGG